rnacentral:rRNA from 1 species
GACGUAGGGCGCGAGCGUUGUCCGGAUUUAUUGGGCGUAAAGAGCUCGUAGGCGGCUUGUCGCGUCGACUGUGAAAACCCCGCGGCUUAACUGCGGGACUGCAGUCGAUACGGGCAGGCUAGAGUUCGGUAGGGGAGACUGGAAUUCCGUGGUGUAGCGGUGAAAUGCGCAGAUAUCAGGAGGAACACCGGUGGCGAAGGCGGGUCUCUGGGCCGACACGUGACGCUGAGGAGCGAAAGCGUGGGGAGCGAACGG